GCUGGCGGCGUGCUUAACACAUGCAAGUCGAACGAACCUUCGGGUUAGUGGCGGACGGGUGAGUAACGCGUGGGAAUCUGCCCUCAGGAGGGGGAUAACGGUUGGAAACGACCGCUAAUACCCCAUAUGCCGAGAGGUGAAAUGAAUUUCGCCUGAGGAUGAGCCCGCGUCUGAUUAGCUUGUUGGUGAGGUAAUGGCUCACCAAGGCAUCGAUCAGUAGCUGGUCUGAGAGGAUGAUCAGCCACACUGGGACUGAGACACGGCCCAGACUCCUACGGGAGGCAGCAGUGGGGAAUUUUCCGCAAUGGGCGAAAGCCUGACGGAGCAACGCCGCGUGAGGGACGAAGGCCUCUGGGCUGUAAACCUCUUUUCUCAAGGAAGAAGAUAUGACGGUACUUGAGGAAUAAGCCACGGCUAAUUCCGUGCCAGCAGCCGCGGUAAUACGGGAGUGGCAAGCGUUAUCCGGAAUUAUUGGGCGUAAAGCGUCCGCAGGCGGCCUUUCAAGUCUGCUGUUAAAACGUGGAGCUCAACUCCAUCAUGGCAGUGGAAACUGAUUGGCUUGAGUAUGGUAGGGGCAGAGGGAAUUCCCGGUGUAGCGGUGAAAUGCGUAGAUAUCGGGAAGAACACCAGUGGCGAAGGCGCUCUGCUGGGCCAUUACUGACGCUCAUGGACGAAAGCCAGGGGAGCGAAAGGGAUUAGAUACCCCUGUAGUCCUGGCCGUAAACGAUGAACACUAGGUGUCGGGGGAAUCGACCCCUUCGGUGUCGUAGCUAACGCGUUAAGUGUUCCGCCUGGGGAG
rnacentral:rRNA from 1 species